CAAUAGCGUAUAUUUAAGUUGCUGCAGUUAAAAAGCUCGUAGUUGGAUUUCGGGUGGGAAUGGCCGGUCCGCCGUUUCGGUGUGCACUUGCUACGCCCACCUUGCUGCCGGGGACGUGCUCUUGAGUUCACGCUCGGGACACGGAGUCGGCGAGGUUACUUUGAGUAAAUUAGAGUGUUCAGAGCAGGCCUACGCUCUGAAUACAUUAGCAUGGAAUAACACGAUAGGACUCUGGCCUAUCUUGUUGGUCUGUAGGACCGGAGUAAUGAUUAAGAGGGACAGUCGGGGGCAUUCGUAUUUCAUUGUCAGAGGUGAAAUUCUUGGAUUUAUGAAAGACGAACUACUGCGAAAGCAUUUGCCAAGGAUGUUUUCAUUAA
rnacentral:rRNA from 1 species